GCUACAGUCCACGGGGACUCAAAGAGUCGGAUAGGACUGAGCACGCACAUAUUAUCUUUUAGUGCUAGGGUAAGUUAGUAUCCUUUAGGCUUCUCCACUGUGUGGUUACCAUUUCCCUUUCGAAGUAAGGAGAUUAACGUUGCCCCUAAGUUUUAGCAUCCACUGAUUGUUCCUGCCUCAAUCAGUUACAGCCAUGGUGCUUGCAAUAUGGUGGUUUUCUAACAUUACCAUUCCCAUUAUAUUAGUUUGUAUUCUGUGGUAAUGACAAGCUUUCCUUUGUUGGUUGUUUGCUAUCUGAAUGGACUCAGGGACUCUUAGGUUAUUCAAUCAUUUAUCAACCAUGACUACCACAUUGCUUUUUUCUUAAAGCAAAGGAUAUAGUAAGAGUCUUUAUUCCAAGUACCAAAAUUCAGAAAUAAGGAAAACAAGUAAAAUGCCAACAGUUAAAUAUUAUGACGUAGUUAAAUACCACCUUUAUUGAAUCGCCCCAGAUUCGACCAAUGGGAACUCCUUCCAGGGGAUGCUUUUAAAGCAAGUUUCACUCAGUUUGCAGAAGUUAAGAAUGAAAUCCGAGGCAAUGUGGACAAUGACUUUCUCUGUGCUCAGGAGACUGAACAGUUGGAAGAAGACAGAGCUGAUGUCAGGAGACACGGGCAAGGUGUCAGCUACUGGACUGACCUUGAAAAAUUGUUGCAAUCCAAGGACAUGAGACUUCAGGAAUGCUAUUUACAGAAUAGUUUCGCAAAGCAAGACACCUUACCCAUCUGAGCUGCCCAUCACUCGUGAGCUGCCUGUAGAAACCUCUGAAAUCCCCAACAAUGUCGCCAAGGUCCUUAUUCAGCACGUGGGGGGCCAGAGCAUUCACAGCACAGACAACUGUGAAAGAGGAUACAAUUCUUGAUUAGUGUUGGUGUGAAUAAAUUAAGACACGCAAGUACCGCAAACGAAAAUGGGCAUUUUAUGAAGAUAAUUUUAAAUAUAAAAGGUACAUGCCUUUAAAAAUUGCCUCAAAUAUGUCAUCUGUGGUUGUUACAACUAAUAAACAGAAUAGUUGUUCACCUAUAUUCAGAGCUUAAUUUCUGAACAGAGCAAAUCCAUUUUGAUUGGUUGCCACAUGAAAAGAACAUAGACCUGAAAGUUUAAAGCAUGUUCCCAAAUCAUUUUCCUGUUCACUUUGUAAAGUGUCCAUAUGUCAGCUGCAAAACAAAAUCUUGCUAUUAAAUUGUUCCCAAGGAAUAAUAAGACUGAUUUAUAGAAUUUUGA